AGCCUACAGAGUAAACCUACACUACAGAGUAAACCUACACUACAGAGUAAACCUACACUACAGAGUAAACCUACACAACAGAGUAAACCUACACUACAGAGUAAACCUAAUCUACAGAGUAAACCUAGCCAACAGAGUAAACCUAGCCUACAGAGUAAACCUAGCCUACAGAGUAAACCUAAUCUACAGAGUAAACCUAAUCUACAGAGUAAACCUAGCCUACAGAGUAAACCUAACCUCCAGAUUACAUCUGAGUGUGUAGUGUGGGGAUUUUUCAGUGGGACAUGUUAGUAUUGUCGCUGCUCUCCUCUACACAUAGUUAUGAAGGGAGGCAUCUGGUGUUUUCUUUGGUUGAUGAUAAUAGUAACAAUCCGGCAUAGAAUCCAUUCCUGUCUGUCUCUUCAAAUAUGUCGUUGUCAUUCUUCUGGAGACCACUAGGUGGCCACACUGUAUAGGUCCAGCAGAAUGCUCUUCCUACCUUAAAGGGAGGUCAGUGGCGCAUUGUUGCUCAGUGUUGUCAGGGCUAAUGUCUCAAAGGGGUUUGUUGUAGUGUAUGCAACAUUCAGAGACUUUACAGCUACAACAUAAAUAGCGGUUUGUAUUCAGGGACACGCUUGUCUGACUCUGAUUAUGUAAGGACAUUCAGAGAAAUGUUGUCAUUUCAUUCCCUGGGUCACCCUGUGACUUGUUAGGCAGAAAGGAGGACAUUGUUAAGAUAAACAUCUCAGUGAACAAAAGAAGACAAGUAAAAUACAGAAACCUGAGCUUUCUAUGGACUUUGUAAAUGAAGGAGAAGAGCUGAAGAAAUCUGAAAGAGGACCUUGCUGCUUCCGUGAAGGACAGAGAGUUAUGGCAUGCCAUCUUUUGGAGCGUUGCGUCACCAUACGCAGUCAGCCAAAGACUGCCUGGAUCUGGAUCCACAGAACACAGUGUUGAUGUGCAGCAGUGUUCUUGUAUGUCAUGUGGCACAGUGUACAGAGAGAAGAACAUGGAGGUGUGGCCUGCCCCCCUCCAACACCUCUCUGCCAAUACGUUGGCCCCUGUGAGGCAUGUUAGAUACCGUACUACCAUCCCCUGAGACUGUGUUCCUGGUGUCAGUACAUGGGGCAUGUUAGAUACAAUACAACCAUCCCCUGAGACUGUGUUCCUGGUGUCAGUACAUGGGGCAUGUUAGAUACCAUACUACCAUCCCCUGAGACUGUAUUCCUGGUGUCAGAGACUGGUGUCAGUACAUGGGGCAUGUUGUAUACCGUACUACCAUCCCCUGGGCCUGUGCUCCUGGUGUCAGUACAUGGGGCAUGUUAGAUACCAUACUACCAUCCCCUGGGCCUGUGUUCCUGGUGUCAGUACAUGGGGCAUGUUAGAUACCGUACUACCAUCCCCUGGGCCUGUGUUCCUGGUGUCAGUACAUGGGGCAUGUUAGAUACCUUACUACUAUCCCCUGAGACUGUGUUCCUGGUGUCAGUACAUGGGGCAUGUUAGAUACCUCACUACCAUCCCCUGAGACUGUGUUCCUGGUGUCAGUACAUGGGGCAUGUUAAGUACUGCACUACCAUCCCCUGAGACUGUGUUCCUGGUGUCAGUACAUGGGGCAUGUUAGAUACCUUACUACUAUCCCCUGAGACUGUGUUCCUGGUGUCAGUACAUGGGGCAUGUUAGAUACCUUACUACUAUCCCCUGAGACUGUGUUCCUGGUGUCAGUACAUGGGGCAUGUUAAGUACUGCACUACCAUCCCCUGAGACUGUGUUCCUGGUGUCAGUACAUGGGGCAUGUUAGAUACCAUACUACCAUCCCCUGAGACUGUGUUCCUGGUGUCAGUACAUGGGGCAUGUUAGAUACCGUACUACCAUCCCCUGAGACUGUGUUCCUGGUGUCAGUACAUGGGGCAUGUUAGAUACCAUACUACCAUCCCCUGAGACUGUGUUCCUGGUGUCAGUACAUGGGGCAUGUUAGAUACCUUACUACCAUCCCCUGAGACUGUGUUCCUGGUGUCAGAGACUGGUGUCAGUACAUGGGGCAUGUUAGAUACCGUACUACCAUCCCCUGGGCCUGUGCUCCUGGUGUCAGUACAUGGGGCAUGUUAGAUACCAUACUACCAUCCCCUGGGCCUGUGUUCCUGGUGUCAGUACAUGGGGCAUGUUAGAUACCUUACUACUAUCCCCUGAGACUGUGUUCCUGGUGUCAGUACAUGGGGCAUGUUAGAUACCUUACUACUAUCCCCUGAGACUGUGUUCCUGGUGUCAGUACAUGGGGCAUGUUAAGUACUGCACUACCAUCCCCUGAGACUGUGUUCCUGGUGUCAGUACAUGGGGCAUGUUAGAUACCGUACUACCAUCCCCUGAGACUGUGUUCCUGGUGUCAGUACAUGGGGCAUGUUAGAUACCGUACUACCAUCCCCUGGGCCUGUGUUCCUGGUGUCAGUACAUGGGGCAUGUUAGAUACCUCACUACCAUCCCCUGGGCCUGUGUUCCUGGUGUCAGUACAUGGGGCAUGUUAGAUACCGUACUACCAUCCCCUGGGCCUGUGUUCCUGGUGUCAGUACAUGGGGCAUGUUAGAUACCUCACUACCAUCCCCUGGGCCUGUGUUCCUGGUGUCAGUACAUGGGGCAUGUUAGAUACCGUACUACCAUCCCCUGGGCCUGUGUUCCUGGUGUCAGUACAUGGGGCAUGUUAGAUACCGUACUACCAUCCCCUGGGCCUGUGUUCCUGGUGUCAGUACAUGGGGCAUGUUAGAUACCGUACUACCAUCCCCUGGGCCUGUGCUCCUGGUGUCAGUACAUGGGGCAUGUUAGAUACCGUACUACCAUCCCCUGGGCCUGUGCUCCUGGUGUCAGUACAUGGGGCAUGUUAGAUACCGUACUACCAUCCCCUGGGCCUGUGCUCCUGGUGUCAGUACAUGGGGCAUGUUAGAUACCGUACUACCAUCCCCUGGGCCUGUGCUCCUGGUGUCAGGUCAUUUGUUAAGGACAGGAUUUUGACAUACAUGAGCAUAUGGUUAUUUGUUUGUAUUUGUUUCUUCAUCCAUUAGACAGAAGGCCGGGAUUCAAUACAAGAUGUGUUAUAACACAGUGCACCAUAACAGGUUUUUAAAGGUCAUUUACUCUUUAGCCUGAAUAUGCAGCAUUUACAAUGAAUGCGAUCUCCGAGAACUUCUGGGAAAAUGCCUUUAAAAGGCACAUUGUCGGCUGUAUAGUGAGUGCUAUAACGCGCCUUGUGUAGAAUCCCAGCCAAGGUGUCAAAUCCAGAGUUUUGUAUAGAUACUUCCAUUGUUGAUGGAGAUAAUGUAUCAAAUUUGUAGGGUGGUUACGAGUCAUAGUCAGGCUGCCGCCAAUUCGCUACAAUAUUACCAUUAUUUGUGCAUUACCAGUUCUCUGCUAUUAAGGCCUUUUUUUGUACCUGUUGAUUGGUUUGGCUCGGGUCAUUCAUCUUGCUAUGCAUUGUUCCAUUUUGUACCAGUACAUUUGUUUACACACAGUAUGCCAGGUCAACCACUUUCAGUUUGGUUCACUGAUAAAGGAGGCCAAUUUCUUUUUUUCAUUGAAAGUUGACGCUAUGUGAGAAUGUUCCACUUAACACGUAUUGAGUGGAUUUUUGAAUGUUUGGAGAGGUAAACCUCACACACAGUUAAAUCCAUUGUCAUAGUUAUUUUUCUGAUGAUUUUCUGAUACAGUAUAUAGAUGUCCAGCGUACAGGUUAUCCAUGUUACACGAUGGACGUUUCCUUACUAAUUGUUACAUGUCAAAUUUCAGCUAGAAGGUUGGCUGUAUGGUUACACAUGUUGGUUUGGCAUGAUGCUAAUGUAACUGUCCAGUGAAAAUCUCACUUUUAAAAGUUCAUAUUCUGUUAACUCAAACCCAAAUAAUGUUGUUGAUUCAUCCUAUACUAUUAUUUGUGGCCAAAGCAUAAAUUUGAGGAGAAUAAAAAACAUGAGAAAAACCCCACCUCAAACAGACCGUUUAAAAAAGGCUUGAUAUUUCCUCAUAGAGGAUGAUGUCAUCCUCCUAAGGAGGAUGAGCUGGCCAAUCAGCGGUCUACUAGCAUUCCUAUGUUUAAUGAUGGGUAUAUGGCCACACCGUUGUGUUGUUGGGGUAUGGCCACACCGUUGUGUUGUUGGGGUACGGCCGCACUGUUGUGUUGUUGGGGUACGGCCGCACUGUUGUGUUGUUGGGGUACGGCCGCACCGUUGUGUUGUUGGGGUAUGGCCGCACCGUUGUGUUGUUGGGGUACGGCCGCACUGUUGUGUUGUUGGGGUACGGCCGCACCGUUGUGUUGUUGGGGUAUGGCCGCACCGUUGUGUUGUUGGGGUACGGCCGCACCGUUGUGUUGUUGGGGUACGGCUGCACUGUUGUGUUGUUGGGGUACGGCCGCACCGUUGUGUUGUUGGGGUACGGCCACACCAUUCCAACACAGAAAAGCUGCUGUUUAACAUGUUUAAUUAAAACAUUUUGGAAGGAAAAGUAUAUUCACUCAUUAUAUUGUAAUUCAUUAUAGGUCCUAUUUCAUAGAAACCUGGAACACUGGAUAUUACUUUAAUCCAUUUCAUGAAACUACACAAGUCUUGAAUUUUAGACAGGUAAUAUAUUCUGCUUUUUCUCAUGGUUAUGGGGACAUGUGCCUCUUUCUGUACGAUGAUGUCAUUUCUGGAAACUAUUUCUGUCCAUUUAGAUUAAAGGACCCGUUUUGUCUGAAGAGCACCCAUAGAGGCUAAAAGUUCUCUAUUGCUUCUAACCAUCAUUGUUGUCUUCAGUCUGCGCUGUAUGUCUAUGGAAUGUUCUGUAUGUCUCUGUUCUGAUCAUGUGACGAAGUCUUCCCAAUUAUAUUGUAUGUGUCAUUGGUUUUGGUGGUGGAUUUUAUCAGAUGCACAUGACACCUAAACAAUGUCCACAUUGAAUGCCUCAUUUUUUAAAAGAUCAAACAGUGUUUUUAAAUAAACAAAUAUACUAAUA